GGAACAGCCCAGCUGCAAUUGUUUCAUCUAGCUUUCCCCAGCAGAGCGAGGUGUGUUAUUCACAGGGUCUAAUUAGGUGCUUUCUUGUUUCAGGAAAAUUGCUGGUUUGCAUCGCUGUUCUCUUACGGGAAGGAGGAAUUUCAAUGGGGUCAGCGUGGAGUCCCCAUGGAGACAGACGGCGGCCGGGUGGCUCGGACUCAGGAGGCGACGAGACUCGACGCCCCUCUGAGUGGCGGAGCCGUGAUGGCUCUCAGUAUCUCUCGUCAUGUCCCUGGCAGCUUUGACACAGGUAAUAUGCAUGCAGUCUGACAGAGCCGGAGAUGUGCACCGGCGACAAUGAUGUACAUAUCAUUUUCCUCCCUGGCUGAUUGAAGACUGUAAUCUGUGCUGGACUUUCUCUCUGAUUACACACGUCUCUGUCUCGGGGAGCAAAACAAGGACUCUGAACUGCCGCUGGGAACCAGGCUCACCCUGGGCUUUCAGCCUUCGAGAGGACUGCACUCUGCCUCUAAGGGACCAAGGGAAUCAGCUCUUCUCCUGAGACAAACCUCUGUGUUACCAUUGGACCCUUGUGAUCCAGGCCUAAUAGCAUAUCAAGCACCUGACAGAGGCGAACAGGUAACAGGCAGCAUGGGACCCCAGGACACUGCUGGCUUCAUCUCUCUACCUCUCUUCCCCAAAGUCAACUCAUUCAUUUGGAGGACACCUUCAUGUUUUAAGUGAUGGUGUCCGCCAUAAGGAGGAUACUUUGGUGCUGUCCAACAAGCCGUCUGUUAUCAGAGGGAAAUGUGUCCGUUCAGAGGUGAGGGGGGGCUUUGUGCUCUCAACCAGGCCACCUCUCUGCCUUUGUCGUGGUAACAAGCUCAGCUCAGGCUCCAUUGAAGCGAGAAAUUGUAAACUCUCCAGAGAGGCCCAGUGGAGAGAUAAGGGUUUAGUGUUUGCUGGCUGUGUGCUUGGGGAUGAAUCAGAUAAGCUCGAGUCCCACGCCAGAAUGGGAGUGAUGAGACCUCCCCUUCUGUGGGUGUUAUGUUUAAUCCCUUUGCCAGUGUAUUCACUUGCAAAUCCUCCUGUCACCAUUAAUAUGUAUUAACACUCCUCAGACAGUGUUCAAUACAGAUUUAUCAGGCUCCUAUUUUCUUUCCUCUUGUUUGCACUGUCGUCUCACCCUCCUCUGUAACCGUGGAGCUUUCUUUUCAGUGCCAAUAUCGAGGCGACAUGCUUUUGCUGUGAGAGACCAGAUAUUACUGUGCACUCUCUCUCUCUCUCUCUCUCUCUCUCUCUCUCUAUGGGGUUUCUUUCAACAGUCCCUUCUUUCCUUUAAGUUCGGGUUUCUGUUCUAUAGAGGACUUAAACUCCGAACAUACUUUAUUGCAGUCCUGUGUGAAUAUGUGGGAUCCCUACAUCUCUGAAAGUAUAGCAUUGACUCGCUCAUCAAUGUUUGAUUUGUUGAUUAUAAGGCUCAGUCACUUCACACAGAGCUAAAAACCUGUCUUUUGAAUUCCUCUCGGGUUGAUCAAUUUCCACUGUGUAAUUAAGAAUAGCGGUGCAUUAAUCUAUUUGAUCCAAUACAAUAAAGCAUAUUAGAUGGGGAUGUUUUAGGAGAUUUUGUUUGCACCAAUUGGUUAGGUGGCCUAAUCCUCACAAAGCCCUGUGAAGCUCAUUAUGUCCCUGAGCCGCUAGUGGUAAGGUACUGUUAGCAUUAAAACAGCCCAGCAGUGCCACGGCCUGCAUGCCUAGCUGUCAGCUCCCUGGCAGAGCCCGAAUCAAGCUGUCAAUUACCGGACGUGUUUAUGGAAAUUACAUGUUUGUUAACAUGCUGGAAAAAUGUGCUCUCGGCGCAAGCAGCGUGACUUCGGAUAACAAUUUUGCUCUGAAAUCACCUUUUAGUCUGAUAUAGGUGAUCCUCAUCAGAUCACAGACAUGGCAUUUUUUAACACCGGCUAGCCACACAAAGAUGCAUCACAAAGAGCCCUCGCAUUGGAUCUGCAGGCUCACGACUAACUAGGAGCUCCAGCCCAAACCGGAGCUCUGUAACAAACUGACACUCAGAUACACUAAUGUAUUCAUGUGUCUAGACAGCUAUAUCAACUGUCUGGAUAGAAGAAGAAAAAAUAAGAAGAAAAAAGUUGUGGGGUUACUGCAUAGAGAGCUUGGUGAAAGAUGUUGUGUGUGCUUCCACACAAGUAUAUACGGUAUAGGCUAAUGUAACAAAUACUCCACUAUGUCAAUUGUGUCUGGUCUUAAGUGAGUAUUUGGGGCGCCACUGGACUUUCAGACACAACUGUCUGACAUGUCAUGUUUAUUGUCGAUUUCCCCCAUUUUACAUCCUAUUAUUCUCCGACUGUAGAGCCCUUGAUUUGAGCCCAGCCGAUGCUCACGACAUUGAGACUAUCGACGUCCACGCCUCAGAGACGUGUGGCCAAGCUCAUCACACAGAAGGUAAUUGUGUCUGAGCAAUUACCUGGCUAAUGUAUUCUACUGUCGGGGCAUUUUCUGCUGCUUAGGUGAGCCGCUGACGGCAUGUUUUGAUUUUUUUGAGCAAUUGUGCCCUUCACUCUGAAAGAAGUCCUGUGUCUUGUCUGGCUCGGUCUUUCUCCCUAUGUAUCUCCCCCGUGAUGCUCCCAGAUUUCACAUAGCUGCUGCGGAGAAGUAUACUUAAUGAACUUACUGUAUGUAGAAGUGCUGUAUUGGAAUGCCUUAGCAUGUGCCGAGUGGAGUUGACAGAGCUGCAGAUACGAUGGGGUGUGUGUUUGUGAAGGGAAGAUUCCUGCUGUAAGACAUCCCUAUUCCCAACGGUUGCUGUAUCACCUGUCAGGGAUGAGCACAACGUCCCAGAGAACGCCACUGUGCAGUGAAACUGUCAUCACACAAUUACUCUCACCAUUACUGCCCUACAGCUCCGUGCAACGGCUGUGACACACUUUACAAUUCAGAUUGUAUUCUCAGUCAUUGGCACUUAAAUGCGGCACUCCGUUUUAUAAAAAGAUAAAAGAUCUCUGUAAUCUGCUGUGGCUCAACCAGCCCCGUGAAAGCUUGUCAGGCUGCAUUUUGUCAUUGGCUUGAUGUUGUCAAACCUCGCAGCUUCACCCUUUGUUGGCCCUGUGUACAUGUUUGUUUUUUGAGUGUGCUAUUGUGUUGCUUGUUAAUGUGGUUGUACAGUCAGGACAGGAGUAAGACCCAGGCUCCCGUGUCUGCGACCACUUAUCUAUUUGAUUCAUUGUGAGGAAACACAACGUCUACUGCGCUAUGCAGUCACCAUAGUAAGGUUCACUGUAAAUCACAGUGAAGUACCAAGGGUCAGUGCACUUUCCUGAAUCGGCUGUAUGAGAUCUUUCUUCGUUGUAUUCAGUUCCUCACCGGGUGUAGUUUUUGGUAAUCUCUUGGUCAAGGUUAACAGGUGAUAGUCUGCUGGUUUCCACUUGGUGUAGACAGAAUCUCUGGCACAAGCAAGCCUUAAGUAUUAGUCAUCUUCGUCACCAGGUCUUCCAGUUGUCCUGCAGAUGCAGAAGUGCUCAGCGUUGAUAGCAACGACAAAAACCAAACUGUGUGUAUUCAGGUGAGAUAGCAGAUUGAGUUUAACAAGCCAGAUGGCUUGUAAUCGUCGGAUCAAUCCAAUGUUUGUGAGCUUUUAUGCUUUUUAUUAUGGUUUGCUUUCCUUACGUGUAAUUUCCUCUGGUGAUUAGUCUGCCCCUGGGUAGGGCUAGAGAGUUCAUCUGCCCGGCCAUCACUGCCUCUGCCAGGGCCAGGACCGUGACCUGCCCCCCUGGGCUGGUUCUGGCACUCUCUGGCUGGACUUCCAGUGGAGCAGCCCGGAGCCCCGUCCUCCAUGCCUGUUGGCCAUGCUGCUGCGGUUUUAAUGCCCACCACAGAGAGCAACAUCCAGCAGCAUAUGGCUAAUGUCCCCUCUGUCUCUGAAGCGGCUAGUUUUUGGGGCGUUUGUUUUUUCGGUCACUUUUUUAGUUCGGGAAGUUAGCCGCUCAGUCCCUGAUACAGAUGUUGUGAGACACAGAUUGGCUUGGAGCCCAAGUCACGUGUUUAGCAAUUGAAUGCCACAAAGUAGUCUGAUAUCACUUCAUGACUGUGGUCUCGUGCAUGUUAUGGCGACACUGCAGCAGAAGCUGGGAGCAUAAGAGACUUUUGCAGGUCUCGCUGUGGGCUGACGUUUCAGAGGCAGCCUCCCUUGCAAUAAUAUGAUGUGAGAUACGGUUCGUCUUCACAUUCACACGGGAACCCUACAGGUAUCCAGCUAUACAGGGGAAGGCGGGGAGAAGAACUUGACUCGAGUUGAUCACUGAGAGGCAGAGACUGGCAGGUCUUCUAGGCAUUGUCUGAUCCUGGAACCUGUACCAGCAUGCUUCCUUCUGAAAUCAUAGCACACGUGUUGUUCUCCUUACAGAUGUGAAGGGGUUAAUACUUCACUUUUAGAACCCACAGGCUGGCUUUGUCACUCCUGCUUUAUCCCAGUAAUUGAGUCACUUUAACAGCGCUUUUGUUUCUUUUCUUAGGUAUGAAAGGAGCUGGAUAGAUACUCCACAUGCUCAAUCAGAAAGAGCUAAUCUGACUAUAUUGUUUGACAAGUGUGUCCCUUACAGCUUGGAGUGACUGAGAUGUAAUCUAAAAACAAUUAUGUCAAUUCCUGAGAACAGUAUGGGGCAGGUAAGAAGCGUUUCAGCUUUCGUCAGGUUAAAUGUAAUGGCUUCACUCUAGCCCUCUUCAAGCCCUGAACUUCUCCGUUCGUGAAUAAGGGUUGUGCUUGUGCCUGUUCAAAGUUGGUGAAUUUCCGGCAACUUUUUCAAGUUGAUUUUGGAGUGGAUGGAAUGAAUUGCAGCCACUGCUGCUUCUGGAGACUGACAGCUACUGUGUGACCAUUUCCUUCAUCUCCUCACCCCUCCUGUGGGAGCUUGCUAUUUUCGGAUCACGUGGAUCCUUGAAUCCUAUCUGUGACAAGUGAUCUGAUCAGUGUCAUGUUGUCUCAGUCGUGACAGAUGUUAUUUUGUUGUACCACCCACGCACCCACACUAUUAGUCUACCAUUACUUGACUCCGCUUCCUCUACCACCAUCCAUCCACCGUCAUCUCCAGAAUGUGAAGUUCAUUCUAAUUCUGCAGCACAUCAGGUUCCUCAUCUAUUUUUGUUAAAUGGCAAGUAAAAGGCCUUGGAGGUGCUUUGGCAUUUCCGAGCUAGUGAAGUAAGAGAGAAGAAGUCAAGGUUGCAGAGGACUGCAGCCCACCCGAGCCGGCUCUUUUUAAACCCCUGUUGGGCUUUUACAUUUUUAUCACUCCUGGUAUUUGUUCUCAAUGGCAAAUUAACAGCCUUCCUUGUGCCGUUCAGUUUCUUUUCGGAAGACGAGGCUUAAAUUUAGUCUAACUGCCUGAAUUUACUACUAUUCUAUUAUUCACACGGCACAAUCAAUACCAGGUCUGAAGUAGAGAGGAUAAAAAUUUAUGAUAUCUUGCAAUUUAAUGGUUGAAAAGAUGCAAUUUGAAAGAUCAUAAAUUGUGAAGGAGCUUAUGCUUCAUUGCCCUUGAUUCAGUGCUUGCUGUUAGAACUUGAUUUGCGAGUGUCUGCAAAGUGUGAUUAACGAGGCGAUCAAUGUGCGCCGCGGCACACUACGGCACUCCUAAUGCUCUUCAUUAGAAUAAAUAAAAUGAAUUGACUGCAGCUCUAUGAAAACUCUGUAAUGGUUAAAAAGCAAAGAACGUCACCCUUCUCCUACGAUUUAGCCCCUCUCGGCCUGUGUCCACCUUCAUCACAUUACGCCUGACAGCCCUGUCCCCAAACCUGCAGUCUCCCCGGCAACAUGCUCAGGGAGAGGGUAGUGGAAGUGGUGUCGAUGGGGGUGAGAAGGGAUUGUUUAGUUGACUGGUAAUCAUAAGUCGGGGGGGCUUUUUGCUCAGAAAACUUUGGAGGGAGGCAUGAUAGUUGAUAAACGGUUUCCGGAGGGGUCUGUGUGCAGAUUGCUCUUCUGCUUUGGUUUUGCAUGGCCCAGGCCUGUUCUCUGUAAUCAGGGUCGUAACCAGCUUUUGAGUUUUAGUGAUGUCCGAAAAGUAAUUUACUGCAUUUCUAUACAAUUUUUUGUUUUUAAACGUUAAAAUGCUAUUUGGAGAACAGGAAAAAAACAUGUAAAAACACCUUGGCUGCUGUAGGUUCAUUCACCGCGAUCUACAAACAUGUAGCCUACCCCUGAAAGUGGCGAAAUAUGAGAAAUGAUUCACACUGACACUUAGCAUCUGUCCAGUUAAUUGUAAUGAUGAAUUCCAGAAAACCAUCACCUCUUUACAUAGAUAUCUCUAUUCUCAAAUGACAUAGCAUUCACAUUUACUAAUCAAGCUCCGCACAAACACAUCAGUGGAGCACACAUGAAUUAUAAAAAUAUUCUUUCUGAUUCUUUAUUAAUAUCAGUGAUCUAGUGGGUGAAGAAAGUGGGUAAUGGAUAAGAUGAGUAACCACCGAUAUAAACAAAAACGUAUGACAUUUUUACAACUGGAUGGUUUGCUACUUGAUAGUAUUUUAAUGUAGGCCUCUAGGGAAAAUAUGCCCGGACCCCAAGUUUGGGAGCCUCUCUCUCUCCUCUCUUUCUCUCUCUUUCUCUCUCUCCUCUCUUUCUCUCUCUUUCUCUCUCUCUCCUCUCUCUCUCUCUCUCUUCUCUCUCUCUCU